UUUUGGAAAUGGCUCUCCUUGCUCCCCACACCAAAUCUUGGCUUGAGAGAACCUCUUCCCUUUGUGGCUGGAAGUCUCUAGAAACAAGUCAAUCCUAUUAGGAAGGAAGGGGGUGGGGUCAAGAAAGAAGCCAGGCAGAAGGACUAGGUCUCUGAAGCUAGAGUCAUUGCCUUAGUUAUACUCAGACAGACCUGGGUUCAAAUCCUACCUCAGGCAUUAUUAGCUGCAUGCUUAGGCAGGGCACUUAAACUUCUGAACAUUGCUCAUAGUGCUGUUGUGAUGGUUAAAUGGCCUAAGUCAUAAAGCCUCACAGUGCUAAUGCCUGCUACAUAGGAAGUGCUUGGUAAAUGUAGCCCCUGUGAUGAUUGGGACAGUGAUGUUGAUGGCAAGUAGGGUGAGGAUGAAGAUGAUGAUUUGAACCCUCUGCUUCUAUUUUCUUGCUCUCUCUGUUCUUCAUUAGGUUGCUGAAGAGAGGAGUGAAAAGCAUCCAUGGGUUUGUCUAGAUGGAGUGAAGAUACCAAAAUGGAGUAGGAGACAGAUCAGAAACCUCAAGAGGGGACGCUCAAGGCAUAUAGGAGUGAAUUAUGAGAAUGCCCAUUCUGAGUUGGAGGAGAAAAUUCAGGGUGGAGAUGCAGGAGAUAGGCGAGUAUAAAAGAAGGUGGGCAUUCAGAAAAGUGUUCUUUUCUACCCUUACUUAUAAUUCAGGUGCCCCCUUAACUGGGUCCUUUCUGCCCUAUAUCACAUGUUGGAUUACCAAGCCAAAGGGUUUGUCCCAUAUGUGGCAAACUGUUUAGGACCUCUAGAAACCAGGAGUCAUAGGCACACAAGAUGCUGAGACUGAGGGAAGCUAAGAGGAUUGCUUGGGGGCCUCCAGGCUGGCAAUGGAUGAACUGAGACAGGAAAUUAGGCUCCCAUACUACUAAAUGAUUUUCCUUCUUCUUGUCUAUCACUUGAGCCUUACUGUAUUACUCUGUUGAUUAAAUGAAAUUAUGUUUUUUCUUUACUCCUUUAGGUAAUCAAAGUCUGAAGAAGAGUCUGGCAAUUACUUCCCAAUAGGUUUUGUUUGUCUUUUUAGACUCAUUGGAGGAAAUGAGACAUCAGCAUAUGAAUUGUGUUGAAGUAUUUUAUCUGACAAUCCAAUUUGGGCAGUUUCAUGUAUAUGUGUGUGUGUGUGUGUAUAUAUAUAUAUAUCUAUAUAUAUAUAUCUAUAUAUAUAUAUCUAUAUAUAUAUAUCUAUAUAUAUAUAUAUAUAUAUCUAUAUAUAUAUAUAUAUCUAUAUAUAUAUAUAUCUA
rnacentral:lncRNA from 1 species